CGGUACUGAGAGGAAGGUCCCCCACAUUGGAACUGAGACACGGUCCAAACUCCUACGGGAGGCAGCAG
rnacentral:rRNA from 1 species